rnacentral:rRNA from 1 species
GACGAACGCUGGCGGCGUGCUUAACACAUGCAAGUCGAACGGAAAGGCCCUGCUUUUGUGGGGUGCUCGAGUGGCGAACGGGUGAGUAACACGUGAGUAACCUGCCCUUGACUUUGGGAUAACUUCAGGAAACUGGGGCUAAUACCGGAUAGGAGCUCCUGCUGCAUGGUGGGGGUUGGAAAGUUUCGGCGGUUGGGGAUGGACUCGCGGCUUAUCAGCUUGUUGGUGGGGUAGUGGCUUACCAAGGCUUUGACGGGUAGCCGGCCUGAGAGGGUGACCGGCCAAAUGGGAACGGGGAUCCGGCCCGGCCUCCACCGGGGGGCAGAAGUGGGGAAUAUUGCACAAGGGGCGGAGGCCUGAUGAAGCAACGCCGGGUGCGGGAGGACGGCCUUCGGGUGGUAAACCGCUUUCGCCUGUGACGAGGCGUGAGUGACGGUAAUGGGUAAAGAAGCACCGGCUAACUACGU